AUAUUUAUUUAUUUUUUAGAUAUGAAUAUAGAACGGAAAAUAUAAAUUUAUGAUAAAUUUAGAGUAGAUAUAGAUCUUAAUAUUUAUUAUGGAUCUGAAUCUAAAACAGAGUAAUUCCAAUUCAUAUAUACUCCAUUGUCAUCCCUAAUUGCGCUUUUGUUAAUGGGAAUUUAAUAUUUAUUUUUUUCGUCGUCACAUUGAAUGGUGAGGAUAUAUAUGUGAAGAAGCUAGCUAGCUAGCUAGCUAAGCCUAACUACGUGUUGUCCAGACAAUGCUUGAAAAGGCUGAUUAUUCAUCAUUUUGGAUGAAGAAUCUUCUCCACAUCUUUGACGAUGAGAAUGACUCGGAUGAUAAGGCUAGAAAUGGCCCCGCUGAUUUGUGAAUGAAACACACUUACAAGUGUCAACGACUCACAUAAGGGCAGAAAAAUCUGUUCAUUAAUUAUAUAUUGCCUAGCUAAAUUUUAGCUUGGUGAUGAACAGGGCCCAGACAUAUGAUCCACCCUGAAUAGGGCCCAGACAUAUGAUCCACCCAUAUAUAUAAAAAACAAAAUUGGUUCAGAUUUCUUUGCUCAUAUCAUUUCAUCAUACUGUGUGCAGUCACGUAUUCGAAAUAGUAUUUUCGGGGAUAUCUAACUUGUACUCAUUCGCCAGUGGUUGAGCUGAUGCCCUACUUAUGAGGGCAGCGGUUUAAAUUUGUGGGGGUUAAAAUAUUCGUAAGUUUUUUUCUCUUGUAAAAUGUGAGUGGAGUAGAGAUAUCUCUUGUAUGUGAAUGUUAUUUGUCUGAGCAUAUACUUAAUAAAAUUUAAUGUAAUAAUAUAAGUCUCAGUUAUA
rnacentral:lncRNA from 1 species